rnacentral:rRNA from 1 species
GACGAACCGAGUGAACGUUGUUCGGAAUCACUGGGCUUAAAGGGCGCGUAGGCGGGUGCUCAAGUCCGGGGUGAAAUCCUCCAGCUCAACUGGAGAACUGCCUCGGAUACUGGGCGUCUCGAGGGUGGCAGGGGUAUGCGGAACUAUCGGUGGAGCGGUGAAAUGCGUUGAUAUCGAUAGGAACUCCGGUGGCGAAGGCGGCAUACUGGUCCACUUCUGACGCUGAGGCGCGAAAGCCAGGGGAGCGAACGGG